rnacentral:rRNA from 1 species
AUUGAACGCUGGCGGCAGGCCUAACACAUGCAAGUCGAGCGGAGCGGCGGACGGGUGUGUAAUGCCUAGGAAUCUGCCUGGUAGUGGGGGAUAACGUCCGGAAACGGGCGCUAAUACCGCAUACUAUCAGAUGAGCCUAGGUCGGAUUAGCUAGUGGGCGGGGUAAAGGCCUACCAAGGCGACGACCCGUAACUGGUCUUAGAGGAUGAUCAGUCACACUGGAACUGGUACCGUGUCCAUACUCCUACGGGAGGCAGCAGUGGGGAAUGUUGGACAAUGGGCGAAAGCCUGAUCCAGCCAUGCCGCGUGUGUGAAGAAGGUCUUCAGAUUGUAAAGCACUUUAAGUUAGGAGGCGUUACCAACAGAAUAAGCACCGGCUAACUUCGUGCCAGCAGCCGCGGUAAUAC